GGUGGAGCCAGGAUGUGAUGUAAUGGCAGGAAAAAGGCGUGUCUUGCUCUUUGCUGGUUCCUGCUUGCUGUUUGCAGCCUCCGUGAACUGCAGCCCAGCCAUGCCUGCCUGCCUUGGAGCCAACUGAGUGUGGACUGAAACCUCCAAAAACUGUGUUUGAGUAAAGACAGCCAGAGUUAGCACGGCCAACGACUGAGGGUCACAUUGCAGAGGACGUGUUACCGAGCGCACAUGUAGUGGUGUGCAGUCAGGGAGCUCACGGAUGUGAAGCCCUCACAGCACGCUGAGAACAAAGCAGACACUCAGUGCAUCAUGAUCCCAUCACCCACCACCAUCAUCAUCACCUUCUCUUCCUUGUCAUCACUAAAG